rnacentral:rRNA from 1 species
AGCAGUCGCCGCGGGAAUACGUAGGUGGCAAGCGUUGUCCGGAAUGAUUGGGCGUAAAGGGCGCGCAGGCGGCUGUGCAAGUCUGAAGUGAAAGGCGUGGGCUCAACCCAUGAACUGCUUUGGAAACUGUAUAGCUUGAGUGUCGGAGGGGUAAGCGGAAUUCCUAGUGUAGCGGUGAAAUGCGUAGAUAUUAGGAGGAACACCGGAGGCGAAGGCGGCUUACUGGACGACAACUGACGUUGAGGCUCGAAGGCGUGGGGAGCAAACAGGAUUAGAUACCCCGGUAGUCCCUGUCUCUUAUAC